GACGAACGCUGGCGGCGUGCUUAACACAUGCAAGUCGAACGGAAAGGCCAGUGCUUGCACUGGUACUCGAGUGGCGAACGAGUGAGUAACACGUGGGUGAUCUGCCUUGCACUCUGGGAUAAGCUUGGGAAACUGGGUCUAAUACCGGAUAUGAACUGCCAUUAGUGUGGUGGUUGGAAAGUUUUUUCGGUGCAAGAUGAGCUCGCGGCCUAUCAGCUUGUUGGUGGGGUAAUGGCCUACCAAGGGGUCGACGGGUAGCCGGCCUGAGAGGGGGGACGGCCACAUUGGGACUGAGAUACGGCACAGACUCCUACGGGAGGCAGCAGUGGGGAAUAUUGCACAAUGGGCGGAAGCCUGAUGCAGCGACGCCGCGUGGGGGAUGACGGCCUUCGGGUUGUAAACUCUUUUCGACAGGGACGAAGCGUAAGUGACGGUACCUGUAUAAGAAGCACCGGCUAACUACGUG
rnacentral:rRNA from 1 species